CUGUUCAGCAACACAUAUACUACAAUUGGAAUGAUACAGAGAAGAUUAGCAUGGUCCCUGCAAAAGGAUGACACCUAAAUUCAUGAAGCAUUAUAUUUUUGA